UAUCAAAAACAGGCAUCAGUAGAACUGGUGUCGAAUUAUGAUGAUCUGACGUCACGAAGUGGAGACUGAAAGCUUAAGAGGGCUGACACGAGCAGAAAAAGUUACAUUUAACGAGCCUCAAUCUUAAAUUGCGGUUUUAUUCAGCAAUAAUGAUUUCGCUUGACUUCAUCUUAAAUUUACAACAUGUGCAGUAAAGGUUGUCAGAAAAAAACCCUUCAUUCAAGAAAAUGGCACAUAAGAGAAAAUAAAUUAAAAAAAUGUGGAUUGCCCGGAGCAAGAACUAACAUCGUCAAGCUUAUCAACUUUAGUUUGCCUUGAAAACGAAGCGAAUCAUUAGUACAUUAUGGAACAUGUAAGCAUAUCAUGGAACAUCUUUUAUGAAAACAGUCUUGCCGUUGUCAUUUGUUCUGGCAUAAAUUCCAAAAGAAAGAUUAUCGAAGGUAAGAGACUUUCAAAUCUGUUUCUGUUCAGCUAUGAGCACAAGACUUCCUUGUCCGGGUUCAAUUCCCCCGAUUCAGCCAAAAAUAUAAUAUUUCAUUUUACAAAUCGGAACAUCUUCGUGUUGCCGUCGCCUGGAGCCGACUAAUACCGCCAGACUACGAAGCCACGUUUUGAAUCAAGAACACUUACCACAAAUUUUUCUUAGAAUUUUUUAAUGAGAAUUCUGAAAAUUUCAAAGAAAGUAAAAUCAAAAAGGCGAAAACAAAAAAUUCAAAAUUUUAUGUUUUAUAGAUGAUGGCAAUUCGAGUUAUCUUUUUCAUUUUCCUUGUAAUGACUACCAACAUAAGCACAUCUUUAUUCUUGAAGCAGAUAAGACAAUUCUCGCUUUCUCAUUGACAUCGCGCACAGACAAUAAAGAAAAUCAACGCGAUGCUGCAUUACAUAUAAUACAUAAUGAAGACAUUUGUCAUCUUCUUUGACCAAACCAAGAGCAACCUUUCAUCAACAGUAGGUGAUGAAAUUCUACAUUGAAGCAGCAAAAUUUCCAUGCUUAAAAUCGACGCGUUGCUUCGUUAAGCAAAGUUCGUUCGUUUUAUAAAAAAACUGACGUAAGAAACCUAUGAUCCAGUACGUACCAAAAAGCCACACUUUCCAUAUGUUGAUGUCCUUCACCAUUACCUUUGUAAACUGAUCUGACUACAAAGUAAAUCGAAAGAUGAAACCAGUAACACAAUGGUUGAGCCAAUGCCUGAUAUCAAAAGACGAUAGCCGCACAGAUCAAUACAUAAGUACUUCGUAAAUUAAACGACCAGAAAAGCCAGUGAGUUGUACUAGAGACCAGAAGAUCCAUAUUGCUCUAAACAGCCGAACAAUAUUACAUUCAAGAAAUUGCCUUCGCAGAUGUAUAAUCUUACAUCGAAACGAAUGCAUCUUAAAAACAUUGAGUUGAAAACGCUCUUCGGCAAAAUAAAAUAAUUGACUAACGCGUAAACAGAUUUAAGACCAGCUGGUAUGACGAAAACUUUGAUACAAAAAAUGUGCUUGAAACAAAGGCACUUUCUUUGCUAUCGCUUCAUGACCUUGAAGUUGUUUUAAUACGAAACUUAAAUAGGAAUCAUACAUAAAUAAGCGCUUUGGCAAUCGACGAACAAAACCAUCAUAAAUUUGAAUAAUCCGCGCGCUAAAUAAGUUUCUUUUUUGUUUAAAACGUUUGUUGAAGAUGCCUCGUGCUGAGAUCUUGUAGGGAGAAAAAUCGCGCGUCGUUAAACACGGAGAUAAAUUAUCGAAUCAAGUUACAUAAAAUGUAAAUAAUCAUUCGACGGAUUCAGGAUUUCUUUUUGCAAAAUCGCUUUGCAACGAAACUAAAUCAACAAAAAAAGUUCCUAAAGGCAAAUAAACACGUUUGUAAUCGUCCAUAA